UAAGAAAAAUAGAAAAAAGUAUGUGAAUUGAUAAAUAGAUAACGUCGACAGCCUAACUAGAUAUCCUGGGAGAUGGUGGACGGAUUGGAUCCAUAGGGAACCCUACCGGGAACAUGGUCUCUCAUAUCAGACGGGAUAUGGAGACUUUAUGUGUUUUGGAGCCCAUACCGGACAGGGUAUGGGGACAACCCGUUUCACCUUCAUACCGGACGGAGUAUUGAGGUUUAUGAUUUUGGUGCCCAGACGAGGUAUGGGGACGGCCCUAGAAUUAAGUUAUUAAUGUGAAUGGUUCACGUGUAG
rnacentral:lncRNA from 1 species